GCAGCAUGAUCUAGCUUGCUAGAUUGAUGGCGAGUGGCGAACGGGUGAGUAAUACAUCGGAACGUGCCCUGUAGUGGGGGAUAACUAGUCGAAAGAUUAGCUAAUACCGCAUACGACCUGAGGGUGAAAGUGGGGGACCGCAAGGCCUCAUGCUAUAGGAGCGGCCGAUGUCUGAUUAGCUAGUUGGUGAGGUAAAGGCUCACCAAGGCGACGAUCAGUAGCUGGUCUGAGAGGACGAUCAGCCACACUGAGACUGAGACACGGCCCAGACUCCUACGGGAGGCAGCAGUGGGGAAUUUUGGACAAUGGGCGAAAGCCUGAUCCAGCAAUGCCGCGUGUGUGAAGAAGGCCUUCGGGUUGUAAAGCACUUUUGUCCGGAAAGAAAUGGCUCUGGUUAAUACCUGGGGUCGAUGACGGUACCGGAAGAAUAAGGACCGGCUAACUACGUGCCAGCAGCCGCGGUAAUACGUAGGGUCCAAGCGUUAAUCGGAAUUACUGGGCGUAAAGCGUGCGCAGGCGGUUGUGCAAGACCGAUGUGAAAUCCCCGAGCUUAACUUGGGAAUUGCAUUGGUGACUGCACGGCUAGAGUGUGUCAGAGGGGGGUAGAAUUCCACGUGUAGCAGUGAAAUGCGUAGAGAUGUGGAGGAAUACCGAUGG
rnacentral:rRNA from 1 species